CAGAACAGAGGGAUGCUGGCAGGUGGAAAAUAAAGCAGCUGGCUCCUUGGGGAGGGAGGAAACACUGGAGCUUGGGGAGGCGAUUUGGGGGAGAGAUUUUAAAUAACCAAUAUUUCUGUUGAGACCAGGACUUUUGGUGUGGUGCAGCUAUGCAUUUUAAUUUCGGAAAUCAUGUUUAGAAGAGAUUGAAUAGCUAUCCUUUAAGAACUGAGAGAUUGGAGCUGGGUCAUCUUUUGCAGGAGAAGUGCUUGCUCUUACUGGCAGCCCUGUGCCUUGGCAUAGGGUUUGAUCCCACGCUUUCUGGUUGGCUUUGCUGGAGACAUUGCUUUGACAUCUAAAUCUUGACCCAGGUGAUGCUGCAUGUGUUCCCCAAGAGCAGGGCCACCAUUGUGAAGUGUGUGAGUUGUCCCUCUGUCCCCCCACCCUUCCCACCCUCCAACCAGACCCAGAACCAGGGCAAGGGAGUGAAGGAAGGAAGGAGCCCACAUCAGCCACUUGCUGCUGGCUCUGGACAACUGCAUCGAGGCUUUGAGUGAGAAGGGGGGGAGCUGCACCCAGUUUGUCGAUUUUCAAGACAGCAAACUCAUGUGGUUUUUGAAGGUGUUGUCCACUGCAGGUUAACGAGGAGUUUGGUGUGCUUGUUGCUGGUAUUACUGCCCAGAUCAGUGCUCAAGAGAUAGUCCUUGAAUGUCUCCAUGUGCCAUCUUUAUCUGGCUUGGAACACUCCUUCGGGGUCUUGAGUGUACUUUGCUGCACAGUCAGGGCUUGACAGGCUCGGUGCUGAGCUGCCCCUGUCGCUGCCUGACAGAUGUGUUUUCUAGCGGAUGACAGGGAGGAGAAGGGAUGGAGAAAAACGGAAGGCUUCUGUUGCAGGCAGAAUUGAGAAGCUGCCGGCAUUUCUUUAGAAAUAGACUCGUUAGGGGGCAAUGGCAGGACUGUCUGAUUGCACAUGUCAGCCCUGCCAGCACCUCCUUUGAAGAAUCGUGAAUGACCUUGAGCUAUGCCUAUCAAGCUGAAAGCAUCAAGGCAGGUAAAUGAGCAAACAACUCACAGGGGAGAGGGGCUGGAGUUUAAAAGCAACGAGGAAAAGGAGGAUGCAGUGAGUGAAGGGAGAGCAGACUUCAGGAGUUCAGUGCAGGAUGGAGCAGAGGCACAGUAUGAGAGAUACAAAGUGGAAGAGGAGAAGGAAAACAAAUGAAGGGAACAGCUGAAAGCAAAUUGUGAGGGUGGUGGAUGGGAAGAGGAAUAUGAGGGACAAAACAAGGGGGCAGAUUUAUGAGAAGGCAGAGGAUGAUGUGCCUGGUAUGGACCUGGGUGCAGAACACCAGGAAUGAUGGAUGGACGAGAGCAGUUUGGAGGGCAAUGUAUGGGGGAGGUCCCAGUGGGGACUGCUGAUGCUGGGAGAGGAACUGAGGACCUGCAGAAAGGAGGAAUUAAAGGAGAAGGCUUGCGGGGUGAAGGAAGAUGAGCAAUGAUCUACGCAGGGUUUUCACUCUUUAUGGAUCCCUCCGUGUUUUCCCUGUGGACACAAGAUCCCUGCCUUUUCUCUGUUGCCUUUUGGGAACUUCCCGGAAUUCAAUCAGGGACAACACGUUCAAUCUUUUCACCAUCUUCCCCAAUACUAAAAUGCAAUAAAUUUCACAAACCUGCCCCUGAGAAGAAGAGCUUUGGUAUCAAGGGGUGGUAUUUGCUGUUGAAAGUCCUGACUCUUACAGAGAAGUGUGUUUUGUUAUGGAGAAGCAAGGAGUUCGUAGCUUGCCUCAUCACAGGCGCCGACACUGCGUCAGGACUCGGCGCUCGGUUGUGUGGCCCAUUGUGAUACAUUUUUAAAAGUCACGAGGGAGGCAGGGCAAAGCUUUUAAAAUAUUGAUUGUUCUGCCCCAGGGAUUGUUCCUUUUUGUCAGGGAAUCUGGCAAGGAAUAAAAGAAAAAUAGUCAAGUUCUCUGACGGAUGAGAUAUGAAGCCUCUGCUACCAAUACCCAAGGUUAUUCCUGGACAACAAGGACAGAAACCUGAUAUCUUUUUGGUGGGUAGAAAGGGGGAAGAGAUGUCCCUACAAUGCAGCAUCCUCCUAAUACUCACAAAAGCAGUAACGAUGAAAACUAUUCAUUGCUAAUAAUAUAAUCACAUGCAGACACAAUAGAUUUCUUAAGCACAUGAUUAAAUUCAAGAGAUGGCAGAAGUAAGAGGAUUCCCAUAAAGAAAUGCCUUGUGACACAGGGACUGAGCGGCUGGGUCCCGGAGUAGUGCGGAGGUGAAGAUGCCCAGAAGGUCAACCUCUGCCCAGCAGUGCUUGGGGCAGGAUGGCAGCAACCUAACUCCGGGAUUCUCAUGGCUUAGGACUAGCACUGUAAAUGCAGCGUGGCACUCGUAUCGCAGCUGGGCUCCUUGGGCUGCUGAAGGAACAGAAUAAAAACAUUGAUGUUUGCAUCCUGCCUCCAUCCCUGUGGUUUUUAGGGUGAAGGAAAAUCCCAAAUCCUCUGUCUGAGCUUGCCCUUGCGAGAGCUCAUUCUUCCCGUAUUCCCCUGGCAGGGAUAUUUUGAGGAUAAAAAUCACUGGCUGUUCAAUGUUUUGGUAAUUGCUUCUGGUUAUUGUUUUUUUGGUAACUAAUAUUAAAGUUUGUUUGCUCCUCUGUGCAAGAUCUCUGCCUCUAGCUGUAUCUGCCCUGACUGAAACAUGGUGGCUGCUGCUAGAGUAAGCAAAAUACUUCAUGUAGAUGUUACUUUAAUCUCAGCAUAAAGGACACAGCAGAGAUUUGCUAAGAUGCCUUUGUUAUCCCAAGAAGCUGAGCUGCCUUGACAAACCCCUAUCCCUCUCCUACAGUCAAAGCUGGAGCAGCGCUUAGAAAACGCCAAGGAAAAAGCUGCCCAGACGGAGGGGCUUUUACCCAGACAAAUCAGCAGGGAUUAUCAGCAGGAGGUGCUAAGGCUCCUCUGCAGAGCCCAUGAGCUUGAGCUUGGCAACAGGAGCUGCGGGCAAAUAACACUGUCUUCUGAACGUUUGUAAGUGCUUUGAAGGGAAAAAGUAUAGGAGCUUUGGAUGAAAAGCAAAUACUGAGCUGUCUUAUAUGAGUGGAAACCAGCUGGUGUUGCUGCAGGCCAGAUGACUCCCAGGCUGCAUUCCCCCACCUCUCUAGACUCCUGCAGGAAAAAGCCAGCUGCACACCUUGCUGCUGUUCGGAGUCUGGAGACCUUGAAGGAAUUGCUACCAACACCAAAAGCAUCUCCCUCAUCCCAGCCAGUCGCUGUUCCAGGGCCCAACACAGAGACCCUGGAAGUGAAAUCUCCCCAGCCGCCUUAUGUGAGGAGGAUUUGCUCAAAAUGAGGUGUCCAGGGGCCAAUUCACCUCGAAAGUCAGAUGAAAGUCAGCGUAUCAGGAGUCUGCUGCCAGAGCCUGCAGCUGGGGGCCGGCUGUGCUCCCCAGCCAGGUGAGCACUGAGGGACUGGGAGAUCCCUGCUGUGAGGGCAGCCAGCAAGAGAAGAUCUCGCUCUCUCAAACCAAACCUCCACAGGGCACAUCCUCUGUGUUUCUUUCUGGUGGGAAUAGAUUGAGCAGGAGGCACGGGCAGAGUGGAGCUAGGGUGAUUUUUACAUAAAGAGAAACACAGUACCAGUUGCAUGAAGAAAUAAGUUAAAUAUUUGUAUUCUUUUGUAAUUCCCUUGGCCGCCUGCCGAAAUAACCAAAGUCAGGUGUAAAGGGAAUCUUUUUGGUACAACAUGGCAAUGAUUGGAGGUGAGAGACUUUACCACUGAGGUUAACUCAACUUGGUGUCUUUCAGAUCUCAAAACCUAAGCAUGGGACUCCCUUAAGCGCCAGCACAGACAAAGCUUGUGAGAACCACCUGCGCCGAGCUAGGGCUCUUCUAUCAGUCGAAGGCUGGGAGUAGCCACAAAGGUCGAGUUUCCUAACAGCCCCCAUUCAGGUAGGGGCCAAAGAAGAGCUGCUGGUUGACACGCUGCAUCAGCUCUGUUGCAAUCACAAAGAAGUUCUCCCUGUUUUUGGUAGAGAGGACUCCACCACCAGUGCUGCCAGAAGACAAUGCUCCUGUGAGCAUCGCUCAGUAGAGCAACUCUGCCUGUCAAAGGAUGGGUCCUACAGAAGCAAAUCGAGGAUGACACUGGCAAUAUUCCAGAAUGAGUUACACUCUGUCAACCUCUUAGCCAAAAAAAACCUUUUAGGAAGAGAAAAUAACAUGUUCAGAGGUGUUCAUAAUCCUAGUUUAAUCCACGCUUGAAGAAUAAAAUUUAAUCUGAAUUAGCCAUGUGACAAUGCACUGCUUCUACUGAACGUGUUGCCUUGGGAAAUUUUCGAGACAACUAUGUGCAAAUUUUGGGCCUUUGCAGAUCUCACCUCUGCUGAGCCCAUGGCAAUCCGCCUCUUCCCUUUCUGACCAGCAACGAGACUCAAACCAAAGCGGAGAAACUUGGUCGAGUACUUCGCUUCCCUCCUGUGCAGGACCUGCAGAUGGUGCCAGCAGCCACCAAAAGCAGCAGCUCGUCAUCCGUGUGGGGAACAAGCAGAGGACUGGACAAAAGUCACUAGGGGAGCAGGACUGCCCCUGGCCCUAAGGGAUUGCAGUCUGGGGACUGUCGGAAGUAGGGGAAGCGGGUGCAGAGGUAGCAUCCCUUAAAAUCUAUUUUAGCUUGUGUUGUGAUGCUGAAAAGCAGAGGGAAGGUUAGCAGAGAGGGACCUUACAUUUGUACAUGACUUUCUAUACCCCUACCACAAGUCUUUCUUCUGUACUGUGUGCUGUAGCUGUUAGCUUUAAUUAAAGACAACUAGGGUGUAAACAGAGUCCAAGAGAAGAGGACAAUCUCAUUUUCCCAGCAGUGUUCUCCUCCCAGAUGUCAGCGUGGAGCCCAAGCUGCCUUUUUCCCAGGGCAAAGGUGUGGAUGCCACCCAAGCACCCAAAAGGCUCCCUGAUUAUUCAAACCAAAUGUAAAUGCCUGAGAAAUAGCUUCGUCUUUCUUCCCUGCUGUCCCCUUGUGUUGCUGUGAGGUGGGGAGGUGCAAUGCAUGCCUGGAAUGCUGUUUGGGUGAGCAGAUGUUUGGCUGUGAGAGCAGCCAGACACUGCUGUAAGCUCUUUUCCACCUAAACAGCAUUUCAGAUCGGAUUGCAGCCGGGACAAGCAGCGUGGUGAUAGGUGAAGACCCUGAUAAGAGGUAGCCUGGAGGUCAAUGGCAGGAAUGUUUUUAUUUUUGGAAAAAAAAUGUCUCCAGCCAGCAGUCUUCUCCAUAAGGGACUAUUUUU